rnacentral:rRNA from 1 species
GAUGAACGCUGGCGGCGUGCCUAAUACAUGCAAGUCGAGCGAACAGACGAGGAGCUUGCUCCUCUGACGUUAGCGGCGGACGGGUGAGUAACACGUGGAUAACCUACCUAUAAGACUGGGAUAACUUCGGGAAACCGGAGCUAAUACCGGAUAAUAUAUUGAACCGCAUGGUUCAAUAGUGAAAGACGGUUUUGCUGUCACUUAUAGAUGGAUCCGCGCCGCAUUAGCUAGUUGGUAAGGUAACGGCUUACCAAGGCAACGAUGCGUAGCCGACCUGAGAGGGUGAUCGGCCACACGGGAACUGAGACACGGUCCAGACUCCUACGGGAGGCAGCAGUAGGGAAUCUUCCGCAAUGGGCGAAAGCUUGACGGAGCAACGCCGCGUGAGUGAUGAAGGUCUUCGGAUCGUAAAACUCUGUUAUUAGGGAAGAACAAAUGUGUAAGUAACUAUGCACGUCUUGACGGUACCUAAACAGAAAGCCACGGCUAACUACGUG